UACGUAGGGGGCAAGCGUUUGUCCGGAAUCAUUGGGCGUAAAGAGCGUGUAGGCGGCUUGGUAAGUCCGCUGUGAAAGUCCAGGGCUCAACCCUGGAAAGCCAGUGGAAACUGCCAAGCUAGAGUCCGGAAGAGGCGAGUGGAACUCCCUGGUGUAGCGGUGAAAUGCGCAGAUAUCAGGAAGAACACCAAUGGCGAAGGCAGCUCGCUGGGACGCGAAGCUGACGCUGGAGACGCGAAAGCGUGGGGAGCAAACAGG
rnacentral:rRNA from 1 species